rnacentral:rRNA from 1 species
CGGCGGCAGCUACCAUGCAGUCGAACGCCCCGCAAGGGGAGUGGCGAACGGGUGAGUAACGCGUGGGAACCUACCCAGCAGUUGGGGAUAACCGCGGGAAACUGCGGCUAAUACCGAAUACGUCCUGAGGGAGAAAGAUUUAUCGCUGUUGGAGGGGCCCGCGCCGGAUUAGCUAGUUGGUGAGGUAAUGGCUCACCAAGGCAUCGAUCCGUAGCUGGUCUGAGAGGAUGAUCAGCCACACUGGGACUUAGACACGGCCCAGACUCCUACGGGAGGCAGCAGUGGGGAAUAUUGGACAAUGGGGGCAACCCUGAUCCAGCAAUGCCGCGUGAGUGAUGAAGGCCUUAGGGUUGUAAAGCUCUUUUACCGGGGACGAUGAUGACGGUACCCGGAGAAUAAGCCCCGGCUAACUUCGUGCCAGCAGCCGCGGUAAUACGAAGGGGGCGAGCGUUGUUCGGAGUUACUGGGCGUAAAGGGCGCGUAGGCGGCGCUCCAAGUUAGGCGUGAAAGCCCCGGGCUCAACCUGGGAAUAGCGCUUAAGACUGGAGUGCUCGAGUGCGGGAGAGGUGAGUGGAAUUCCCAGUGUAGAGGUGAAAUUCGUAGAUAUUGGGAAGAACACCAGUGGCGAAGGCGGCUCACUGGCCCGCAACUGACGCUGAGGCGCGAAAGCGUGGGGAGCAAACAGGAUUAGAUACCCUGGUAGUCCACGCCGUAAACGAUGAGUGCUAGACGUUGGGGGACUCAGUCCCUUAGUGUCGCAGCUAACGCAUGAAGCACUCCGCCUGGGGAGUACGGCCGCAAGGUUAAAACUCAAAGGAAUUGACGG